GCCGCAGUAGCCCAGUUGGUAGAGGCGUCGGCAGUACAGAUUCUGAAAGUACCAGGUUCAAAUCCUGCCUGCGGCG